GUGUUGUACGAAAAUAGCAUUUUCCCUUGAUAAGGAUGAAAGGGGUCCUAGUGGCCUUACAACACACAAAUGGAUGGGAUCUAACCAUGUAAAGCUGCAAAAUGCUAAAGUUCCAAGCACAGAAAUUUUC